AGUGAACGCUGGCGGUAGGCCUAACACAUGCAAGUCGAACGGCAGCACAGUAAGAGCUUGCUCUUACGGGUGGCGAGUGGCGGACGGGUGAGGAAUACAUCGGAAUCUACUUUUUCGUGGGGGAUAACGUAGGGAAACUUACGCUAAUACCGCAUACGACCUACGGGUGAAAGCAGGGGAUCUUCGGACCUUGCGCGAUUGAAUGAGCCGAUGUCGGAUUAGCUAGUUGGCGGGGUAAAGGCCCACCAAGGCGACGAUCCGUAGCUGGUCUGAGAGGAUGAUCAGCCAAAAGGGAACUGAGACACGGUCCAGACUCCUACGGGAGGCAGCAGUGGAGAAUAUUGGACAAUGGGCGCAAGCCUGAUCCAGCCAUACCGCGUGGGUGAAGAAGGCCUUCGGGUGGUAAAGCCCUUUUGUUGGGAAAGAAAAGCAGCAGGUUAAGACCCCGCUGUUCGGACGGUACCCAAAGAAUAAGCACCGGCUAACUUCGU
rnacentral:rRNA from 1 species